AACGAACGCUGGCGGCGUGCUUAACACAUGCAAGUCGAACGGAAUUAGGGGCUUGCUCCUAAUUUAGUGGCGCACGGGUGAGUAACGCGUGGAUAACCUACCCUGGUAUCUGGGAUAACAUCUCGAAAGGGGUGCUAAUACCGGAUAAGCCCACGGUCUCUUCGGGGAUUGCGGGAAAAGAUGGCCUCUAUUUAUAAGCUAUCGUAUCAGGAUGGGUCCGCGUACCAUUAGCUAGUUGGUGGUGUAAUGGGCCACCAAGGCGACGAUGGUUAGCUGGUCUGAGAGGAUGAUCAGCCACACUGGAACUGAGACACGGUCCAGACUCCUACGGGAGGCAGCAGUGGGGAAUUUUGCGCAAUGGGGGAAACCCUGACGCAGCAACGCCGCGUGAGUGAUGAAGGCCUUCGGGUCGUAAAGCUCUGUCAGAGGGGAAGAAGUGAUAGUGUGCUAAUACCACAUUAUCUUGACGGUACCCUCAAAGGAAGCACCGGCUAACUCCGUGCCAGCAGCCGCGGUAAUACGGAGGGUGCAAGCGUUGUUCGGAUUUAUUGGGCGUAAAGCGCGUGUAGGCGGUCUUUUAAGUCUGAUGUGAAAGCCCCGGGCUCAACCCGGGAAGUGCAUUGGAAACUGGGAGACUUGAAUACGGGAGAGGGUAGUGGAAUUCCUAGUGUAGGAGUGAAAUCCGUAGAUAUUAGGAGGAACACCGGUGGCGAAGGCGGCUACCUGGACCGAUAUUGACGCUGAGACGCGAAAGCGUGGGGAGCAAACAGGAUUAGAUACCCUGGUAGUCCACGCCGUAAACGAUGAGUACUAGGUGUUGCGGGUAUUGACCCCUGCAGUGCCGCAGCUAACGCAUUAAGUACUCCGCCUGGGAAGUACGGUCGCAAGACUA
rnacentral:rRNA from 1 species